CAAAUCCUGUUACUCGCCGAAAAACGUCAAAGAUCCGUCUCCUUCCUCUUGACUCACUUUCUCUCUCUCUCUCUCCCUCUCUCUCUCUCUCCCCCCUCUUUCUCUCUCUAGAACCCUAACCUUAAUCCUAGCUCGAUGACGCGAUUCUCGAGAUUCGAGUCUUGAAGAUGGAGGAGGGGUCGAUCGAGGAGGGGAUGGGCGAGAGCUCGUCGCCGCGCUCGUCGCCGCCGAGGGCGAUCGGGAUCGCCGACGUCAAGACCGAAAUCUACAACAGGCUCGUCGAGAUCGGGAGCGAGGAGGUGAGCUCGAUUCGGGACUUGAAGGAGGAGCUCGAUGCUCAUUUCAGCAGGCUGCCGGCGAGUUAUCUUGUCGAUGUAGCUGUUGAGAGAGCGGAAGAGGUUUUAUUACAUUGGAGGAUUCUUGCAGAGGCUAAGGACCCAAAAAAGCGCCCGGUCUUCCAUGUCCGCUUUAUGAAGCUCGAGGAAGCAAGUUUGGAUGUGGGAACACACAUCUGUAGCGCUGAAGAUGGCAGAAAUUUUGAAGAAGUUGUUUCCGCAAGGCAUGAUGUCGCAUAUACGCCAAUUCAUGAGGUCACAUUUUCUACUAUUGAUAAACCUAAGCUACUUAGCCAGUUGUCCGCUUUGCUAUCUGACGUUGGAUUGAACAUACGCGAAGCUCAUGUUUUCUCAACAACAGAUGGCUUUUCUUUGGAUGUAUUUGUUGUUGACGGAUGGCAUGCAGAGGAUACAGAUGAUUUGCACAAGGCAAUCGCAGAAGCAAUUUCAAGGAGUGAGGGGUCUUGGUCUGGUUCAACGCAUUCUAAUGCUGCGGAGAAGAUAUUGGCGAUGCAACCCAAAAUUGCUGACACAGAAAUUGAUAUGAGAUUGUUGAAAAUAGGAGAGAAGAUUGCAUCUGGAUCUUCUGGGGAUAUGCAUCGUGGGAAUUACCUUGGUCACGAUGUUGCAGUGAAGGUUCUGAAAUCAGAACAACUAACUGAGCUUUCAGGGGAUGAAUUUGCUCAAGAAGUAAUGAUCUUGAGGGAAGUUCAACAUAGUAAUGUAGUUCGUUUUAUUGGUGCAUGUGCAAAGCCUCCAAAUUUUUGCAUAGUUACAGAGUACAUGCCUGGAGGAAGUCUUUAUAGUUUUCUUCACAAGCAGGAUAACAUGCUGGAACUUUCUCUCUUGCUGAAGUUUGCACUUGAUGUAUGCAAAGGAAUGGUCUAUCUGCACCAGAACAACAUAAUUCAUAGGGAUUUGAAGACAGCCAACUUGCUAAUGGACAAUGACAAUGUUGUGAAAGUGGCAGACUUUGGUGUAGCUCGAUUUCAGAAUCAAGGGGGAGUCAUGACGGCAGAAACUGGAACAUACAGAUGGAUGGCACCUGAGGUUAUCAAUCAUCAACCUUACGAUCAAAAGGCUGAUGUAUUCAGUUUUGCGAUUGUGCUUUGGGAGCUUGCAACAUUAAAGCUACCUUAUGAAAGUAUGACCCCUUUACAAGCUGCCCUAGGAGUGAGACAGGGGAAACGCCCGGAGCUUCCUCCGAAUGCACACCCUGGACUGUUGGACCUGAUGCAGAGAUGUUGGGAUGCAGACCCCGCUGCACGCCCCUCAUUUCAAGAGAUUCAAGUCGAACUAGAACAGCUUUUAAAACUUGUUCAGGCUCCUGGGGAAACAAGUCAGAAAGGAAAUUUUUUGGAUGAAGCAGACAAGUAGUUGUUCGACUCUGAAGAUGCAUGCCAUUCUCCUCCUCGUCAACAACUGCUGGAAAAUUCUUGAGCUUCUGUAGGAGAGACCAUUUGGCGCUUGUGCGUGAAUCUGUGUGAUCGAUUUUACAUUAGGGUGUAAUUCCAAAGUCCAUAAUAUCUUUGAUGGAAGUGGGGGGCGGAUCCAAGGGGUGCCCGGGUGGGCAGAUGCACCCCUGGAGAUGUUAGUUUUGUAGAUCACGUCGAGAGAGAGCUUUCCGACAACAUAUUAUAAUAGUGAUUUCGAUAACCAAGUCAAAAGUUAUGGUUCGGGUAAGUUUUAGCAUCAGUAUAUGUUUCCAGCUUGCUGCUAAUUAUUUUGACAUUAUCUUAUUAAAACAUUUAUAUCCCAAGCUAUACAUUUUCAAAUUGAAUUCUAUA